rnacentral:rRNA from 1 species
GAUGAACGCUGGCGGCGUGCCUAAUACAUGCAAGUCGAACGAGGUGCCUUUGUAGCAAUACGAAGGUAUCCUAGUGGCGAACGGGUGAGUAACGCGUUGGUGACCUACCCCAAAGUGUGGGAUAACAGAUCGAAAGAUCUGCUAAUACCGCAUGUGGUCUUCGGAUUUAGAAACUGAUGACUAAAGGAGCAAUUCGCUUUGGGAGGGACCUGCGUCCCAUCAGCUAGUUGGUGAGGUAAUGGCUCACCAAGGCUACGACGGGUAGGGGACCUGAGAGGGUGGCCCCCCACAAUGGAACUGAAACACGGUCCAUACACCUACGGGUGGCAGCAGUAGGGAUAUUGCACAAUGGGCGAAAGCCUGAUGCAGCAACGCCGCGUGUGCGAUGAAGGCCUUCGGGUCGUAAAGCACUUUCUGAGGAUGAGCGAAGGACAGUACCUCAAGGAAUAAGGUUCUACGGUCUAAC